rnacentral:SRP_RNA from 1 species
UCGUACUAGACGGGGAAUUAGCGGAGCCUUGUAACCCGCAAUCCGCUCCAGCGGGGUUGAAUUCCUUCUAGAGGCUGCUGUACUGUAGGGCCUGCCUUAAGUAAGUGGUGUGGACACUUUGGGUCCCGCGCAAUGAGAAUCCAUGAACCAUGUCAGGUCCGGAAGGAAGCAGCAUUAAGUGGAAGCUCUCAUGUGCCGCGGGGUUGCCUGGGUCGAGCUAACUGCUUAAGUAACGCCUAUGGUAUACAGUCGAAGGAAGGUGUACGA